UACGUAGGGGGCAAGCGUUGUCCGGAAUCAUUGGGCGUAAAGAGCGUGUAGGCGGUCCUGUAAGUCCGCUGUGAAAGUCAAGGGCUCAACCCUUGAAUGCCGGUGGAUACUGCAGGACUAGAGUCCGGAAGAGGCGAGUGGAAUUCCUGGUGUAGCGGUGAAAUGCGCAGAUAUCAGGAGGACGCACAAUGCGAAGGCAGCUCGCUGGGACGUACUGACGCUGAGACGCGAAAGCGUGGGGAGCAAACAGG
rnacentral:rRNA from 1 species